AUCGUUCCUUCACCUCCAAUGAUGGAUUCCGGGCUUGUGGGGGUCAAUUGACCCCUCUUGCCCCUAUGUGGAUCUGCCCCACCACUACAACGGAAAAAAUGGCAAUUGUCCUUUACACAAAGAAUCCGAUUGGAAAGAAGCUGGAUAUCAUAUGACCAUGGAGUGAGACUUCGUUUUCAGGCCACUUUUUGAGUGUUACACUCCAAAUAACAGGGUGCUUCCAGUUUUUGAUUGUGUACUGACAUUGAGUCAGACAAGUAGAAUAAUUUUGUUCAUUAUGUGCCAUUCAUAGAUGACAUUUGGAAUGUCGAGUGGUAUUUUUGCUUUUCCAGUGUUGUAUUAAUUUGUUUGAGUUUGAGACAACAUGUUAUUGGGUGUGGUAUUAAGAAGACCGACCCAUGACAUCGGUUCGUCCUUUCAUUGGGUUUAUGCAAUGCCUCUUACUUCCAGAUAAAUAAUCUAUCUUGGUAGAGUUAUGAAUUA